GAUGAAGAACGCAGCGAAAUGCGAUAUGUAAUGUGAAUUGCAGAAUUCAGUGAAUCAUCGAAUCUUUGAACGCACAUUGCGCCCGCCAGUAUUCUGGCGGGCAUGCCUGUUCGAGCGUCAUUUCAACCCUCAAGCCCCCGGGCUUGGUGUUGGGGAUCGGCGUGCCCUCGCGGCGCGCCGUCCCCUAAAUCUAGUGGCGGUCUCGCUGUAGCUUCCUCUGCGUAGUAGCAACACUCGCACUGGAUCGCAGCGCGGCCACGCCGUUAAACCCCCCACUUCUGAAAGUUUGACCUCGGAUCAGGUAGGAAUACCCGCUGAACUUAAGCAUAUCAAUAAGCGGAGGA
rnacentral:misc_RNA from 1 species